rnacentral:rRNA from 1 species
AGAGUUUGAUCAUGGCUCAGGAUGAACGCUAGCGGCAGGCUUAACACAUGCAAGUCGAGGGGUAUUGGUUUUCGGACCAAGAGACCGGCGCACGGGUGCGUAACGCGUAUGCAAUCUACCUUUUACAGAGGGAUAGCCCAGAGAAAUUUGGAUUAAUACCUCAUAGUAUUAUUGAAUGGCAUCAUUUAAUAAUUAAAGUCACAACGGUAAAAGAUGAGCAUGCGUCCCAUUAGCUUGUUGGUAAGGUAACGGCUUACCAAGGCAACGAUGGGUAGGGGUCCUGAGAGGGAGAUCCCCCACACUGGUACUGAGACACGGACCAGACUCCUACGGGAGGCAGCAGUGAGGAAUAUUGGUCAAUGGGCGCAAGCCUGAACCAGCCAUGCCGCGUGCAGGAUGACGGUCCUAUGGAUUGUAAACUGCUUUUGUACAGGAAGAAACAGUUCUACGUGUAGAACCUUGACGGUACUGUAAGAAUAAGGAUCGGCUAACUCCGUGCCAGCAGCCGCGGUAAUACGGAGGAUCCAAGCGUUAUCCGGAAUCAUUGGGUUUAAAGGGUCCGUAGGCGGUUUUGUAAGUCAGUGGUGAAAGCCCAUCGCUCAACGGUGGAACGGCCAUUGAUACUGCAAGACUUGAAUUAUUAGGAAGUAACUAGAAUAUGUAGUGUAGCGGUGAAAUGCUUAGAGAUUACAUGGAAUACCAAUUGCGAAGGCAGGUUACUACUAAUUGAUUGACGCUGAUGGACGAAAGCGUGGGGAGCGAACAGGAUUAGAUACCCUAGUAGUCC